rnacentral:rRNA from 1 species
UGGGGAAUAUUGCACAAUGGGCGCAAGCCUGAUGCAGCCAUGCCGCGUGUGUGAAGAAGGCCUUCGGGUUGUAAAGCACUUUCAGCGGGGAGGAAGGCGUUAAGGUUAAUAACCUUGGCGAUUGACGUUACCCGCAGAAGAAGCACCGGCUAACUCCGUGCCAGCAGCCGCGGUAAUACGGAGGGUGCAAGCGUUAAUCGGAAUUACUGGGCGUAAAGCGCACGCAGGCGGUCUGUCAAGUCGGAUGUGAAAUCCCUGGGCUCAACCUGGGAACUGCAUUCGAAACUGGCAGGCUAGAGUCUUGUAGAGGGUGGUAGAAUUCCAGGUGUAGCGGUGAAAUGCGUAGAGAUCUGGAGGAAUACCGGUGGCGAAGGCGGCCCCCUGGACAAAGACUGACGCUCAGGUGCGAAAGCGUGGGGAGCAAACAGG